GACGAACGCUGGCGGCGUGCUUAACACAUGCAAGUCGAACGAAGAGCGAUGGAAGCUUGCUUCUAUCAAUCUUAGUGGCGAACGGGUGAGUAACGCGUAAUCAACCUGCCCUUCAGAGGGGGACAACAGUUGGAAACGACUGCUAAUACCGCAUACGAUCUAAUCUCGGCAUCGAGGAUAGAUGAAAGGUGGCCUCUACAUGUAAGCUAUCACUGAAGGAGGGGAUUGCGUCUGAUUAGCUAGUUGGAGGGGUAACGGCCCACCAAGGCGAUGGUCAGUAGCCGGUCUGAGAGGAUGAGCGGCCACAUUGGGACUGAGACACGGCCCAGACUCCUACGGGAGGCAGCAGUGGGGAAUCUUCCGCAAUGGACGAAAGUCUGACGGCGCAACGCCGCGUGAGGGAUGACGGCCUUCGGGUUGUAAAGCUCUGUUAAUCGGGACGAAAGGCCUUCUUGCGAAUAAUGAGAAGGAUUGACGGUACCGGAAUAGAAAGCCACGGCUAACUACGUG
rnacentral:rRNA from 1 species